UACGUAGGGUGCGAGCGUUAAUCGGAAUUACUGGGCGUAAAGCGUGCGCAGGCGGUUGUGCAAGACAGAUGUGAAAUCCCCGGGCUCAACCUGGGAACUGCAUUUGUGACUGCACAGCUUAAGUGCGGCAGAGGGGGAUGGAAUUCCGCGUGUAGCAGUGAAAUGCGUAGAUAUGCGGAGGAACACCGAUGGCGAAGGCAAUCCCCUGGGCCUGCACUGACGCUCAUGCACGAAAGCGUGGGGAGCAAACAGG
rnacentral:rRNA from 1 species